AAUAUCACAGUCAAACAUCAGGCUACAUAACCUCUUCUGUGCUAUGUUUUUAUUAAUUAAGUAAAUCUCCAACAACGAUAUUAUACGGAUGGGGUGGAGAAAAUAUGAUAAAUAAAACAAUACCUUAAUUAUCCAGGCAAAACCACCGCAGGAUAACCGAUACACGACCAAAAACAAACAACACCAGCCGUUGAUGAAAUGUCCAGAGUACAUUAUUGACUGCAAGAUUUCCAGUUUCUCCACGAUAGUAUAAUUAUCGAUGUAAUAUUAAAACGUGCUCGCGUUGCGGGCACGAACGUGUAUAUUAUUAAUUUUUAAAUAAAUUUUCUAUUCGAUGUGUACCCUUCAAUGGUGAUUUGUUUAAGAGCAAUUCCGUCGUUGAUUAUCCCAAUCCAUGAAUUGUCGAUGUAAUAUUAAAAACGUGCUCGCGUUGCGGGCACAAACGUGUAAAAUUAUUAAUUUUAAUAAAAUGUUUAUUCGAAGUGUAUCCUUCAAGGGUGAUUUGUUUAAGAGAGCUCAUUUUUAAAUUGUUUUUGGCUUUUUUACUCGGUUCUGUAUUCCUACGCGAACUACGUUGUUUUUCGUUUGUUAAAUUUUAAUAAUUAUUGCGCAUGGUGGCUAUUCACACGUUAGCGUGUACUAACGUCCGUUCACACGCUAGCGUGAUUUUAAUUCAACUUUUUUAAUUGAAUGAUUUUUCUUUAUUUUUUUAUUUUGUGUGUGUGUUUAGAUUUAGAUAGGGUUUUUCUGUCCCCAUUCGUAUAAUGAUUUUGAUCGCGCUUAUUACUAUAAUUUGACUGAUUUUUAAUUACUGUCAACCAAACCUACAAUCAAAAUACUUUGAACCUUAUU